ACAUGCCCAAUAACAAGAACAAAACACCUCAGAGGAGGAAUUCUUGGCAGUCGGCACAAUAAAUGUGCAUGAGAUGGGAAAUGACGACCAGAGAAAAAAUGAGGCAUACACAACAAUAAGAAUACAGAAGAAGUCUGGCAGGAAACGAAUAAACAUAGACUUAAGGCUAAAGAUUGACACUGGAGCCCAGAGUGAUAUCUUACCUGUCAACCUCAACAAAAAGAUGUUCCUAGAACACAUAACACAAGAGGAUAUGGUCAAAGGAAUC